AUGGACGCCGCGGCGGCGCACGUCCUCGUCUUCCCCUGGCCGCGGCAGGGGCACAUCAACCCCAUGCUCCACCUCGCCGCCGCCCUCGUCGACGCCGGCGUCCGUGUCACCUUCCUCCACACCGACCACACCCUCCGCCGCCUCGCCCGCGCGCCCCCGCCCCCGCCGCCGCGCCCGAUGCGCGUGCUCUCCGUCCCCGACGGCCUCCCCUACUGCUUCCUGGACCUCAUGGCGUCCAUCUGCGACACAAGCCGCCCCGCCUACCGCGCCCUGCUACUCUCGUCGCUUCUAUCUUCUGGCGCUCCGGUGACGUGCGUCGUCGCCGACGGCACCAUGCCGUUCGCCGUCCAAGCCGCCGAGGAGCUCGGCGUCCCGGCGCUCGCCUUCGCCGCGCACAGCGCGUGCAGCUACCUGGCGCUGCUCUGCACGCCCCGGCUCGACGAGCUCGGGGAGACCGCCUUCCCGGCAGACGACCCGGUCCGCGGCGUCCCCGGGAUGGAGGGAUUCCUCCGGCGGCGAGACCUUCCCCGCGAGCUCCACUGCGCCGAGCAGGGCGGCUCGGACCCGAUGGUGCUCAAGGUCGCCGAGGCGAUCGCUCGUAGCUGCAAGGCGGCACGCGUGCUCCUGCUCAACACCGCCGCGUCCAUGGAGCGGCCGGCGCUGGCCCACGUCGCGUCGCGCGCAGCCACCGACGUCUUCGCCGUAGGCCCGCUGCACGCCGCCAGCUCGUCGAGGUCCGCCGCAAGCUCAAACACAAGCCUCUGGCAGGAGGACGAGGGGUGCAUGGCGUGGCUGGACGGCCAGGGGGACCGGUCCGUCGUGUACGUGAGCCUGGGGAGCCUCGCGGUGAUCACGCACGGGCAGUUCACCGAGUUCCUCGCCGGCCUCGCGGCCACCGGGCACGCCUUCCUCUGGGUGCUCCGGCCGGACCUGGUCCGCCCGGCCAGCCCUGGGCUGCUGCUCCGGGAAGCCGUCGCGGCAGCGGCAGGAGGCGGCGACAGGGCGCGCGUCGUGGAGUGGGCGCCUCAGCGGGACGUGCUCCGGCACCGGGCGGUGGGCUGCUUCCUGACGCACGCCGGCUGGAACUCGACUCUGGAGUGCGCCGCCGAGGGCGUGCCCAUGGUGUGCUGGCCCUUCUUCGCCGACCAGCAGACCAACAGCCGGUUCGUGGGAGCCGUGUGGGGCUGGACAUGA
rnacentral:rRNA from 1 species